rnacentral:rRNA from 1 species
GACGUAGGGCGCGAGCGUUGUCCGGAUUUAUUGGGCGUAAAGAGCUCGUAGGCGGCUUGUUGCGUCGACUGUGAAAACCCGCGGCUUAACUGCGGGCUUGCAGUUGAUACGGGCAGGCUAGAGUUCGGUAGGGGGAGACUGGAAUUCCUGGUGUAGCGGUGAAAUGCGCAGAUAUCAGGAGGAACACCGGUGGCGAAGGCGGGUCCUCUGGGCCGAUACUGACGCUGAGGAGCGAAAAGCGUGGGGAGCGAACAGG